CGUUUGUAUGUUGGAGCUUUGGAAUAACAACGGCACUGGCAUUAACAACUCAAAAAAACAGCUACAGUAACAAAGUUGAGUAGCAGCCAAGACUACAAAAACAACAUGCAGGGGGAAUUUUAUGUUAGCUCGCGGCAGCUAGCAGGCGCAAUUGCAUUGGAGUAGCGCAGUGUAGCGGACACAACAAAAACAACUAAAAAAUUUGAAUAAGUCAAGCAGCAACAACGACUGCUGGUGAAACAACAACAACAAUUACGGCAAUCGCACAGACAACAGUAGCAACAAAAACAGCAACCGCAACUCAGCUGUGCUUUUCUGUUGCCGCCUCCCCUUUGUAGCGCUUUGUCAUGGCAUGGCUCGUGGUGCUUUUUGUGGUGUGGCAACUGUUACCAGCAGUGCUGCCUUGCAUGAGUACGUAGUUAUUCCGACGUUCGUAUAUUUGUGUUAACAUGCAUUUAAGUGUGUAUAUGUGUGUGCCUUCGGUGGCUCCACAUGCAAGCCUGCUAGCAUGCGCGCUGUACUCGUAUGUACGAUUGUGUCAGCUUUUUCGGGGUCUCCACCGCUAUUAAUACGAGUAUAUUAUUGUAUUUGUUGCAAUUGCUGGCUACUUGGAUCGUCAAAAAUCGGAAAAUACGACAAACUGCAAUAUUUUUUUUGGUGUGUUGCCGUUAAUGUUUGAGUUACUCAUUUGUAUAUGCACUUGUUGUUGUUGUUAUUAUUAUUAUUAUUGUUAAGGUUUCUUGCCGCAGCUUUUAUUGCUGUUGUUAUCUUUGUGGUUGUUAAAUGUAUGCCCUAUACAUUUAUGUAAGUGUAUGUGUGUAUGGCGUUUUUGUUUGUUUUUGUUGCGCGUUCGCUUUUUUUCUACUCUUUACAUUGGCAUGUGGCGGCGUUGGUGAGCUUGUUUUUGUUAUUGUAAAUGUUUUCGUGUUUGCUACCCCUCUUCCUCCUCCUUUGUCGAACUAUGCUUUCGUAUGAGUAUUUGCUGCCAUAUUUAUUGCUUCUCAAGUGUGCAUGUGCCUGUGUUGUGUGUUUACUCGCGAGCGCGAUCAUUUGCGGCAACAACAAAAAUACAAAACAGUAAAUUUUUCGAAAAUACAGCAUUAGCAAUGCCAACCAACAACAAAAAAACCAAACAGCGACAACUCGGACAUUUUAUUUGCUUGUAGCAGCUUUGGAACAAAUAUACCCACAUCCAUUCACACGCACAUGGAGCGAGCGAACGCAAAUCGCCUAUCACACUUGCUUCGAAUCGUUUCUUUUAUUUUCGUUUUGUAUGCGUAUGUAUAUGUAUGUCUCCCGUCGCAUUCUCACCUCGCCAUAAUAAGCGACCACCACAAGCUCUAGCACCAUCGCCACCAGUUGCGGCUCCAACCAAAGCAAAUACAGCGCAACACAUUACCUCAAUUUCACCUUCCCGACGCUUUUGCAUCACCUUCACACGCACACACAUACCUACACACGAAAAUCACUUUUGAAUUGGUGCAGUGGGACAAAUCGAUCCAAAAAAGGGCAACGUCAGUUGAAAGUAAUCGGAAGUGGUAAAUGUGUUGUAUGUAAAUGACUCUUCCUUGGGGUAUAACCAAAUUUUAAAGCAUUCAUUAUGAGGAAGUCGGUUCUCCGUUACCGUUACCGAAAUGACUCCGAUUUAUAUUCGUCCGGAUUUAUAUCAGCAUUGGUCAACUCUCCCAGCAUUAAGCUCGAUAUACAGUCGAACAAUAAUUUCAUUAGAAAUGAAAGGCCAAUACUACAUUUCCCGCAGCACAAAAUUGAUACCCCUUUGCGCUCAAACAUGAAACAAACAUUUUAAUACACUACUCUCAGGGUCUUCCAUUGGCAAUGCCGCUACUACAUACAACACUUUACUGCCGUUUGUUGCUGUUGCUAUAACUUUGCUCUCUGCUCAGCUGUUGCGGAAGAGUAUUCGUAGCGUUUGGUAGCAACGCAAAUGUGACAGCAUUUCAAUCAGAGUUCAGAUCAAAGCAGGCAGGCUUUCGUCCUAACCAAUUUGGCAUUCAUCACAUAAGCAGCCUCCGAGUCAUUGCCGAACAAUCCGUUGAAUGGAGAGCCCCACUCUACUUCGUUUUUAUCGACUUUCAAAAAGUGUUCGACAUAUUGCAUCUCGAUGAUCCAGCGUGUUGAAGCACUUUACGCCAGGGCAGGAUGCCGGAUAAUGCAUGAUUAGCUCCUUGGUGAUGGGAUAAAGGUCUUAGCAGGCGUACGUCAAGGGUGUCUAUUGUCACCAUUGCUCUUUUUAACGUCGUCUUGGACACCGUUAUGAGGAAUGCCACAAUAUCUGAAAGUUGGAUUACCUGGAGCCUGCAGGCAAUGCAACUACAAUCAGAACAGGAAAGCGCCGCUAAUGCUGGGCUGGUUUUCAACAUCUCCAAAACCAAAAUGCGUACUAACACUCAAAAUAAACUGUUACAUGUGAAAUGUUUUUGCUAUCUGGGCAGUGUCAUCUCGGUGUUAGUUGCCUCGAGCGAAGAUAUCAAAAACCGCAUUAGGAAAACUCUAGCAAUAUUUGGCUCCCCAUGUUCAAUCUGGAAAGCAUCGCAUAUUUCGCAACGAGCAAAGCUGGGGAUCUGUAAUUCUAAUGUUAAAUCAAAUUUACUCUGUGCUAGUCUAUGAACGCACUGCAAGUUUUCAUAAGUCGAUGUCUUCGCAAAAUCCUGGAAAUCUUCUGUCCAAACAAAAACUCUAAUACCGAUUUGAGGAUAAUAAAAAAAUAAUAAUAAACUCUUUCCAGCAAAAAAUAAACUUUAAUGUUCCAAGAAGAUAACUUUGAAAUUUCUACCCCUUUUAUGGAGGUAAUAACAAAACAAAUUUGCCCGAAAAGCGUCAAUUGCUCACGCUCUUAAUGAAUUUAACGAGCUUCUAUGUCUAAUAUUGUUUUCAUUAACCUUCUGAAAUCUUGUAUAAAAUCUUAAUUAAUUUGUGUUACUAGUCUGUAAGAAUUUGUUGUUCAUAGACUUUAUGUUUAAAUAAAAAAAAAAAAAAUUCCUAGAAGCCUUUGUCCCCCUGCAAUAUGCCCUUGAAAAACUUUGGCAAGCAGAAAACAAAAGUAAUAAAAGCGAAAUUCAUUUUACACCCUUCAGUGUAGCUCAAAAGCUUGUCAAAUUGCCGCACCUGCAGCUUUGUAAAUAUAUUUUGC